rnacentral:rRNA from 1 species
AUUGAACGCUGGCGGCAGGCUUAACACAUGCAAGUCGAGCGGAGACUUCGGUCUUAGCGGCGAACGGGUGAGUAAUACCUAGGAAUCUGCCUAUUAGUGGGGGAUAACGGCUCGAAAGGGUCGCUAAUACCGCAUACGUCCUACGGGAGAAAGUGGGGGAUCUUCGGACCUCACGCUAAUAGAUGAGCCUAGGCCGGAUUAGCUAGUUGGUAGGGUAAAGGCCUACCAAGGCGACGAUCCGUAGCUGGUCUGAGAGGAUGAUCAGCCACACUGGAACUGAGACACGGUCCAGACUCCUACGGGAGGCAGCAGGUGGGGAAUAUUGGACAAUGGGGGCAACCCUGAUCCAGCCAUGCCGCGUGUGUGAAGAAGGCCUUCGGGUUGUAAAGCACUUUAAGCGAGGAGGAAGGUCUUUGAACUAAUAUUUCAAAGAAUUGACGUUACUCGCAGAAUAAGCACCGGCUAACUCUGUG